GUAUGCGUGGCCGAGCGUCUAAGGCGCUGGUCUUAAGCACCAGUCAUUUCGUGGGUUCGAAUCCCACCGCUGCCA
rnacentral:tRNA from 1 species